GAUGAACGCUGGCGGCGUGCCUAACACAUGCAAGUCGAGCGAACAGACGAGGAGCUUGCGCUUUUGUCGUUAGCGGCGCACGGGUGAGUAACACGUCGAUAACCCACCUAUAAGACUGGGAUAACUUCGGGAAACCGGAGCUAAAACCGGAUAAUAUUUUCAACCGCAGGGGUCAGUAGUGAAAGACGGUUUUCCUGUCACUUAUCCACGGACCACCGCGGCUUUAGCUAGUUGGUAAGGUAACGGCUUACCAAGGCAACGAUGCGUAGCCGACCUGAGAGGGUGAUCGGCCACACUGGAACUGAGACACGGUCCAGACUACUACGGGAGGCAGCAGUAGGGAAUCGUGCGCAAUGGGCGAAAGCCUGCCGCAGCACUGCCGAGUGCGUGAGGAAGGUCUUCGGAUCGUAAAACACUCUUAUUCGGGAAGAACAAAUCUGUCAGUAAAUAUGCACGUCUUGACGGUACCCAAUCAGAAAGCCGCGGCUAACUACGUG
rnacentral:rRNA from 1 species